GGGAAACUGCCCGAUGGAGGGGGAUAACUACUGGAAACGGUAGCUAAUACCGCAUAACGUCGCAAGACCAAAGUGGGGGACCUUCGGGCCUCACACCAUCGGAUGUGCCCAGAUGGGAUUAGCUAGUAGGUGGGGUAAUGGCUCACCUAGGCGACGAUCCCUAGCUGGUCUGAGAGGAUGACCAGCCACACUGGAACUGAGACACGGUCCAGACUCCUACGGGAGGCAGCAGUGGGGAAUAUUGCACAAUGGGCGCAAGCCUGAUGCAGCCAUGCCGCGUGUAUGAAGAAGGCCUUCGGGUUGUAAAGUACUUUCAGCGGGGAGGAAGGCGGUGAAGUUAAUAGCUUCACCGAUUGACGUUACCCGCAGAAGAAGCACCGGCUAACCCCGUGCCAGCAGCCGCGGUAAUACGGAGGGUGCAAGCGUUAAUCGGAAUUACUGGGCGUAAAGCGCACGCAGGCGGUCUGUCAAGUCGGAUGUGAAAUCCCCGGGCUUAACCUGGGAACUGCAUUCGAAACUGGCAGGCUGGAGUCUUGUAGAGGGGGGUAGAAUUCCAGGU
rnacentral:rRNA from 1 species